UCCGGCUUAUCACCGGCAGUAUCUUCAGAGUUCCCAACUUAAUGAUGGCAACUGAAGAGGAGGGUUGCGCUCGUUGCGGGACUUAACCCAACAUCUCACGACACGAGCUGACGACAGCCAUGCAGCACCUGUGUGGAGUCCGGCCGAACCGACAAUCUCUAUCUCUAGAAAUCUUAACUCCCAUGUCAAAGGCUGGUAAGGUUCUUCGCGUUGCGUCGAAUUAAACCACAUGCUCCACCGCUUGUGCGGGCCCCCGUCAAUUCCUUUAAGUUUUAGUCUUGCGACCGUAUUCCUCAGGCGGAAUGCUUAAUGCGUUAGCGACGACACCAAGCCCCGAAAGACCUGACAUCUAGCAUUCAUCGUUUAUGGCGUGGACUAC
rnacentral:misc_RNA from 1 species